UUUCCGCAAUGGGCGCAAGCCUGACGGAGCGACGCCGCGUGAGCGAAGAAGGCCUUCGGGUUGUAAAGCUCUUUUGUCCGGGACGAUAAUGACGGUACCGGAAGAAUAAGCCCCGGCUAACUUCGUGCCAGCAGCCGCGGUAAUACGAAGGGGGCUAGCGUUGCUCGGAAUCACUGGGCGUAAAGGGCGCGUAGGCGGACGUUUAAGUCAGGGGUGAAAUCCCGGGGCUCAACCUCGGAAUUGCCUUUGAUACUGGAUGUCUCGAGACCGGAAGAGGUAAGUGGAACUGCGAGUGUAGAGGUGAAAUUCGUAGAUAUUCGCAAGAACACCAGUGGCGAAGGCGGCUUACUGGUCCGGUUCUGACGCUGAGGCGCGAAAGCGUGGGGAGCAAACAGG
rnacentral:rRNA from 1 species